rnacentral:rRNA from 1 species
UUUAUGGAGAGUUUGAUCCUGGCUCAGGACGAACGCUGGCGGCGUGCCUAAUACAUGCAAGUCGAGCGGAGAUUUAAAAGCUUGCUUUUAAAUCUUAGCGGCGGACGGGUGAGUAACACGUGGGCAACCUGCCCUGUAGACUGGGAUAACUUCGGGAAACCGAAGCUAAUACCGGAUAAUCUUUAGCAUCACAUGGUGCAAAAGUAAAAGUUGGGUUUUACCUAACACUACAGGAUGGGCCCGCGGCGCAUUAGCUAGUUGGUAAGGUAACGGCUUACCAAGGCGACGAUGCGUAGCCGACCUGAGAGGGUGAUCGGCCACACUGGGACUGAGACACGGCCCAGACUCCUACGGGAGGCAGCAGUAGGGAAUCUUCCGCAAUGGACGAAAGUCUGACGGAGCAACGCCGCGUGAACGAUGAAGGCCUUCGGGUCGUAAAGUUCUGUUGUUAGGGAAGAACAAGUACCGUUCGAAUAGGGCGGUACCUUGACGGUACCUAACCAGAAAGCCACGGCUAACUACGUGCCAGCAGCCGCGGUAAUACGUAGGUGGCAAGCGUUGUCCGGAAUUAUUGGGCGUAAAGCGCGCGCAGGCGGUCUCUUAAGUCUGAUGUGAAAGCCCACGGCUCAACCGUGGAGGGUCAUUGGAAACUGGGAGACUUGAGUGCAGAAGAGGAGAGUGGAAUUCCAUGUGUAGCGGUGAAAUGCGUAGAUAUAUGGAGGAACACCAGUGGCGAAGGCGACUCUCUGGUCUGUAACUGACGCUGAGGCGCGAAAGCGUGGGGAGCAAACAGGAUUAGAUACCCUGGUAGUCCACGCCGUAAACGAUGAGUGCUAGGUGUUAGGGGUUUCGAUGCCCUUAGUGCCGAAGUUAACACAUUAAGCACUCCGCCUGGGGAGUACGACCGCAAGGUUGAAACUCAAAGGAAUUGACGGGGGCCCGCACAAGCAGUGGAGCAUGUGGUUUAAUUCGAAGCAACGCGAAGAACCUUACCAGGUCUUGACAUCCUUUGACAACCCUAGAGAUAGGGCUUUCCCCUUCGGGGGACAAAGUGACAGGUGGUGCAUGGUUGUCGUCAGCUCGUGUCGUGAGAUGUUGGGUUAAGUCCCGCAACGAGCGCAACCCUUGAUCUUAGUUGCCAGCAUUCAGUUGGGCACUCUAAGGUGACUGCCGGUGACAAACCGGAGGAAGGUGGGGAUGACGUCAAAUCAUCAUGCCCCUUAUGACCUGGGCUACACACGUGCUACAAUGGAUGGUACAAAGGGCAGCAAAACCGCGAGGUUGAGCCAAUCCCAUAAAGCCAUUCUCAGUUCGGAUUGUAGGCUGCAACUCGCCUACAUGAAGCCGGAAUUGCUAGUAAUCGCGGAUCAGCAUGCCGCGGUGAAUACGUUCCCGGGCCUUGUACACACCGCCCGUCACACCACGAGAGUUUGUAACACCCGAAGUCGGUGGGGUAACCUUUAUGGAGCCAGCCGCCUAAGGUGGGACAGAUGAUUGGGGUGAAGUCGUAACAAGGUAGCCGUAUCGGAAGGUGCGGCUGGAUCACCUCCUUU